GUCCUUUAGAUUAUAAUUUAAGGUCUAACCUGCCCAAUGAAUAAUUUUAAUGGCCGCAGUAUUUUGACUGUGCAAAGGUAGCAUAAUCAUUAGUUUUUUAAUUAAAAGCUUGUAUGAAUGGUUGGACGAGAAAAAAUCUGUCUUUAUUAAUAAAAUUGAAUUUAAUUUUUUAGUUAAAAAGCUAAAAUUAAAUUAAAAGACGAGAAGACCCUAUAGAUCUUUAUAAUAAUUUAAAUAAAUUUUAUUUAGAUUUAUAUAUUUAUUUAUUUAUUUUAUUAUUUUAUUGGGGUAAUAGAAAGAUUAAUUAAAUUCUUUUUUAAAAAGUAUAUUUUAUAAUAAUUUUAAGAUCCAUUAAUAAUGAAAAAUGAUUAAGUUACCUUAGGGAUAACAGCGUAAUUUUUUUAGAGAGUUCAUAUUGAUAAAAAAGUUUGCGACCUCGAUGUUGGAUUAAAAUAAAUUUUAGGUGCAGAAGCUUAAAAUUUUGGUCUGUUCGACCAUUAAAUUUUU
rnacentral:rRNA from 1 species